UACAGAGGUCCCAAGCGUUGUUCGGAUUCACUGGGCGUAAAGGGUGCGUAGGUGGUGAGGUAAGUCGGAUGUGAAAUCUCCGAGCUCAACUCGGAAAUGGCAUUGGAAACUACCUUGCUAGAGGGUUGGAGGGGGGACUGGAAUGCUUGGCGUAGCAGUGAAAUGCGUAGAUAUCAAGCGGAACACCAGUGGCGAAGGCGAGUCCCUGGACAACUCCUGACACUGAGGCACGAAAGCUAGGGGGAGCAAACAGG
rnacentral:rRNA from 1 species